UACGGAGGGAGCUAGCGUUGUUCGGAUUUACUGGGCGUAAAGGGCGCGUAGGCGGCGCGGUAAGUCACUUGUGAAAUCUCUGAGCUUAACUCAGAACGGCCAAGUGAUACUGCAGUGCUAGAGUGUGGAAGGGGCAAUCGGAAUUCUUGGUGUAGCGGUGAAAUGCGUAGAUAUCAAGAGGAACACCUGAGGUGAAGACGGGUUGCUGGGCCAACACUGACGCUGAUGCGCGAAAGCCAGGGGAGCAAACGGG
rnacentral:rRNA from 1 species